GAUGAACGCUGGCGGCGUGCCUAAUACAUGCAAGUCGAGCGAACGGACGAGAAUCUUGCUUCUCUGAUGUUAGCGGCGGACGGGUGAGUAACACGUGGAUAACCUACCUAUAAGACUGGGAUAACUUCGGGAAACCGGAGCUAAUACCGGAUAAUAUUUUGAACCGCAUGGUUCAAAAGUGAAAGACGGUCUUGCUGUCACUUAUAGAUGGAUCCGCGCUGCAUUAGCUAGUUGGUAAGGUAACGGCUUACCAAGGCAACGAUGCAUAGCCGACCUGAGAGGGUGAUCGGCCACACUGGAACUGAGACACGGUCCAGACUCCUACGGGAGGCAGCAGUAGGGAAUCUUCCGCAAUGGGCGAAAGCCUGACGGAGCAACGCCGCGUGAGUGAUGAAGGUUUUCGGAUCGUAAAACUCUGUUAUUAGGGAAGAACAUAUGUGUAAGUAACUGUGCACAUCUUGACGGUACCUAAUCAGAAAGCCACGGCUAACUACGUG
rnacentral:rRNA from 1 species